GAAGAUGCAGAUUUCAUGUUUCCUUUUUUGGUAUGGAAAAUGAAGGUUGCGCUGCCAUACCGCCAGCUAUCUACAAAUAAUUUAUAAUUGAAAUAAUCAAACCGUCUGCUGUUUGUGGCAUCCUUCACCCAUCACCAGAGCUUGAUGAACUUCAAAACCGUUUGGAACACACUCCAUCGGAAGAGGUAUUGUUUCACCCAGAGCUUAUGAGACUGUUGUCCAUGCAGUGCCCUGUUUUUUGUAAACUUGUUGCCUCCAUUGGAUGUUUUCCACUUUACUUGCUUUCAAUUUUCCAAAAGAUGGUACAAGUAGCAAAGGCUCCCUUCCAGACCGCACCACCAAAAUCUGGCCAAACGCUGAAUGAAGAUUCCUCAGACCUUAGUUUUUUUUCCACUACUGCCUUUAAUUAGAGACCGGGGAAAUUACAAAGCAGAUGGGGAACGAAAACUUGAAGAAUCAACUCAGUUCUGCAGAAAACCCACAGUCCGCCAUCCAGCUCUCAUUCCUGGAAUAUUUACCCUGUUCUGCGUCCAUGGUGUUUGCUAUGGAUACUCUGUCAAGGAGGGUGCUGAAUCUGUGAACAUACCGUUUACUAUAAUGCGCAGAAGAUUAAUGGAAGGUCCACAAAUUGUAUUUUAUGACAACUCCUGUAAACUGCACUCUUACUGCCUGAACAGGGAUCCACUGUUCUUUAAGAGCACAUGGUUCCUUGUUGACAGAUUACACUGGAAAAACCAUACAGCUUGCAACAUUGGAUACAUAUACCCCCAACUGCAUGGAAAAAAUACACAAGUUGCAGAGCAGUAUAAUGCACGUAUCAAGAAAAUGAAACAUCAUUUGCCAUACAUGACAAAAGAACAUUUCAUGAAGCACAUGGAGCUUUAUCUCUGGUACCAUUCCAGGAAUAUUAUUAGAAAGAUGCAUUGUAGUGGAGUCUGACCAUGCACUCGCUGCAGCGCUGUUUUGCAGGUAACAAUGCAGCAGCCAGCAAGCUAUGCCUAUAUGUAAAUAGUAGUGGGAGGUAUUUACAGGGAAAUGAUUGGUAUUUUUAUUGUACAGCAGUUAAUGUUUUACUUGCCGUUGUGUGUGUUCUAUGUUGGUUUGUGUUUGCUGUUGAUUUGUUAUUCACCAUGGGUACUUGUUUGUUCCUGUUGAUUUAUGUCCUUUCUUGAUGUCACUGUGCAUUGCUUCUCAAAUUAUUUCUGCCCCAUUUUGGUGGCUAAUGCAUAGUCAUCCACUUUGUACACCCUUUUUGUUAAGUAAUAAAACUCGCUCCAACAUAAUAAAACCUGUGCUAAAAAAAAGUUGUGUGAGCAUUUU